rnacentral:rRNA from 1 species
UACGUAGGAGACGAGCGUUGUCCGGAGUUACUGGGCGUAAAGGGUGCGCAGGCGGCCUAGCGCGUCGCGGGUGAAAUCUCCCGGCUCAACUGGGAGGGCGGUCGCGAGACGGCUGGGCUUGAGGCUCGGAGAGGGGCGUGGAAUUCCGGGUGGAGCGGUGAAAUGCGUAGAGGUCCGGAGGAACACCGACGGCGUAGGCAGCGCCCUGGACGAGACCUGACGCUCAGGCACGAAAGCCCGGGGAG